GAAUUGUAGAAGCGUCGGUGUGACUUUCUGGCUCCGAAACCGUCGAAGGGAAAACAACUCGACUCAUUUUCACGAAGCCGAUUACGAUCAACGAUUCUUCCUGAGGUUGCCGGAGUACCAGAGCCAACGAGGGACGUCCACCCGCAUCACGAUAUCGAGAUAAGUUCACGCAAGAACGUUUGAGAAAUCUUUCCUCCAAAAUUUGUAUAUUGGCGUGAAGACGAGCGGUGUAUACGGAAGUGUGUGUGUAUGCCUCGAAGACUGCAACGGCCAUUGCCUUUGUUAGAACGGAUUAAGGACGGACGGGUAUUCCAACUAAGUGGCAAAUCUCGCGAGGGAACCAUAAUG